rnacentral:rRNA from 1 species
UACGUAGGGGGCAAGCGUUGUCCGGAUUUAUUGGGCGUAAAGCGCUCGCAGGUGGUCCGAUGCGUCGUGCGUGAAAGACCCCGGCUCAACUGGGGGGCGUCGUGCGAUACGGUCGGACUGGAGGCCAGUAGGGGGAUGCGGAAUUCCGGGUGUAGUGGUGGAAUGCGUAGAGAUCCGGAGGAACACCAGCGGCGAAGGCGGCAUCCUGGACUGGUCCUGACACUCAGGUGCGAAAGCGUGGGGAGCGAACCGG